rnacentral:rRNA from 1 species
UACGUAGGUGGCAAGCGUUGUCCGGAUUUAUCGGGUUUAAAGGGUGCGUAGGUGGUCUAUUAAGUCAGUGCUGAAAUAUCCCGGCUUAACCGGGAGGGUGGCAUUGAUACUGAUGGACUUGAGUAAAGUUGAGGUGGGCGGAAUUGACGGUGUAGCGGUGAAAUGCUUAGAUAUCGUCAAGAACACCUAUUGCGAAGGCAGCUCACUAAGCUUUAACUGACACUGAGGCACGAAAGUGUGGGGAUCAAACAGG